AAUCAACGCUGGCGGCGUGCCUAACACAUGCAAGUCGAGCGCGAAAGGGGGCAACCCCGAGUAGAGCGGCGAACGGGUGAGUAACGCGUGGGUGAUUUGCCUCCGAGUGGGGAACAACACCGGGAAACUGGUGCUAAUACCGCAUGACAUCCUCGGGUCGUACUGGGGAUCAAAGCUGGGGACCGCAAGGCCUAGCGCUUGGAGAGAAGCCCGCGUCCGAUUAGCUAGUUGGUGGGGUAAGGCCUACCAAGGCGACGAUCGGUAGCCGGCCUGAGAGGGCGGACGGCCACACUGGGACUGAGACACGGCCCAGACUCCUACGGGAGGCAGCAGUGGGGAAUUUUUCGCAAUGGGGGAAACCCUGACGAAGCAACGCCGCGUGGAGGAUGAAGGCC
rnacentral:rRNA from 1 species